GUCCCGGUGGCCCAGGACGGGGUGGCGGUGAUCUCGACGACGGCGGCGAACAGGGAGACGCCGAAGCUGUUGUUGAGCAUCAGCACCCGGUCGCC
rnacentral:tRNA from 1 species